AAGAUCAUACUUCACAGGAUCAUUUCUGUAGUAUAUCUUGACUUGUUUCCCACCCAGAAACAUUUCUCCAAUCAACCCGCGAUGACGAGUAAUGACGCUGGCUUCUGAGAGUGAAACAGGUUGCGAUCGUAGCCACUUGCGUGGUAUCUGCUCGUAGCCAUUGAGGACCGUUUCCGGUGUUCCCUUGUGGCACACUGGAAGGAAACCGGCGUUUUCAGAGCGGU